AUUGAACGCUGGUGGCAUGCUUUACACAUGCAAGUCGAACGGCAGCGCGGGCUUCGGCCUGGCGGCGAGUGGCGAACGGGUGAGUAAUGCAUCGGAACGUGCCCAGUAGUGGGGGAUAGCCCGGCGAAAGCCGGAUUAAUACCGCAUACGACCUGAGGGUGAAAGCGGGGGACCGAAAGGCCUCGCGCGAUUGGAGCGGCCGAUGUCGGAUUAGCUAGUUGGUGGGGUAAAGGCUUACCAAGGCGACGAUCCGUAGCUGGUCUGAGAGGACGACCAGCCACACUGGGACUGAGACACGGCCCAGACUCCUACGGGAGGCAGCAGUGGGGAAUUUUGGACAAUGGGGGCAACCCUGAUCCAGCCAUGCCGCGUGCGGGAAGAAGGCCUUCGGGUUGUAAACCGCUUUUGUUCGGGAAGAAAUCCUCUGGGCUAAUACCCCGGGGGGAUGACGGUACCGGAAGAAUAAGCACCGGCUAACUACGUG
rnacentral:rRNA from 1 species